GGAGAUGGCUCAGUGGUAGAGUGCUUGCCUUGCAUGCAUGAGGCCCUGGGUUCAAUUCCUCAGCACCA
rnacentral:tRNA from 1 species